rnacentral:misc_RNA from 1 species
CGGAAACACGGUGCCGGAUAACGUCCGGCGGGGGCGACCCCAGGGAAAGUGCCACAGAAAGCAAACCGCUUCGCUUCGCGGAGUAAGGGUGAAAGGGUGGGGUAAGAGCCCACCGCGGACAUGGCAACAUGGACGGCACGGCAAACCCCACCGGGAGCAAGACCGAAUAGGGAUGACACGGGCGCGCAAGCGUCCAGCCGGUUUCCAGGCGCGUCAUCCGGGUGGGUUGCAAGAGGCUGCGCGCAAGCGCAGUCCCAGAUGAAUGGCUGCCACGCUCCGUUCCUCCGGGAGCGGGG